rnacentral:rRNA from 1 species
UAGAUGCGAGAGUAGAGCAUAUCAAUAAGCGGAGGAAAAGAAACUAACAAGGAUUCCCCUAGUAACGGCGAGUGAAGCGGGAAGAGCUCAAAUUUGAAAUCUUCAAGGGUUUCCCUUGACGAAUUGUAGUUUAAAGAAGUGUUUUCUGUUAGAGAGGUGGUAAAAGUUCUUUGGAAUAGGACAUCAUAGAGGGUGAGAAUCCCGUAUUUGGUCAUUCCUCCUAGCGUUGUGAUACACUUUCAACGAGUCGGAUUGUUUGGGAAUGCAGUCCAAAAUGGGUGGUAAAUUUCAUCUAAAGCUAAAUAUUGGCGAGAGACCGAUAGCGAACAAGUACCGUGAGGGAAAGAUGAAAAGAACUUUGAAAAGAGAGUUAAACAGUACGUGAAAUUGUCAAAAGGGAAGCGUUUGACACCAGUGUUGUUUUUCCGAGAAUCAAUUACGAAUGUUUUAUUUUUGAGGAGUUAUGACUUCAUCGGCUUGCUCCUUUCUUUAUGAAACUUUCUUAAUGCACUUUUCGGUUAACAAGUCAACAUCAAUUUCUUUUGUUGUAAAAGGGUAUGAGGAAGGUGGCUUUCUUUUCGGAGAAAGUGUUUAUAGCCUUGUGCCUCUGCAAUCGGAGAGAUUGAGGUCUGCAGCGUAGAUCCUUCGGGGUUAGAUACGUUUGUGCUAAGUUAUAGCUUUUCAUAGACAACUUGUUGACUAUGUUUAGUCUUGUAGCUUACUCGCUUACGCUAUUUUACCUACGCUUAGGAUGUUGACGAGACUGUCGAUCUC